rnacentral:rRNA from 1 species
CGGGACGGGUGAGUAAUGUCUGGGAAACUGCCUGAUGGAGGGGGAUAACUACUGGAAACGGUAGCUAAUACCGCAUAACGUCGCAAGACCAAAGAGGGGGACCUUCGGGCCUCUUGCCAUCGGAUGUGCCCAGAUGGGAUUAGCUAGUAGGUGGGAUAAAGGCUCACCUAGGCGACGAUCCCUAGCUGGUCUGAGAGGAUGACCAGCCACACUGGAACUGAGACACGGUCCAG